GGAGGUGACAGAGUGUGGACCAGACCUCUUGAUGGACAUUCAGGCCAGUCUCCAGCCCACUCCCAUUGAUGAUGGUAUUAAAGGUAGGAUUCAAACCAAUUUAAGACCCUGCCAGAGAGGCCCA